rnacentral:rRNA from 1 species
AUGGGCGCAAGCCUGAUGCAGCCAUGCCGCUUGUGUGAAGAAGGCCUUCGGGUUGUAAAGCACUUUCAGUCGUGAGGAAGGUAGUGUAGUUAAUAGCUGCAUUAUUUGACGUUAGCGACAGAAGAAGCACCGGCUAACUCCGUGCCAGCAGCCGCGGUAAUACGGAGGGUGCGAGCGUUAAUCGGAAUUACUGGGCGUAAAGCGCAUGCAGGUGGUUUGUUAAGUCAGAUGUGAAAGCCCGGGGCUCAACCUCGGAAUUGCAUUUGAAACUGGCAGACUAGAGUACUGUAGAGGGGGGUAGAAUUUCAGGUGUAGCGGUGAAAUGCGUAGAGAUCUGAAGGAAUACCGGUGGCGAAGGCGGCCCCCUGGACAGAUACUGACACUCAGAUGCGAAAGCGUGGGGAGCAAACAGGAUUAGAUACCCUGGUAGUCCACGCCGUAAACGAUGUCUACUUGGAGGUUGUGGCCUUGAGCCGUGGCUUUCGGAGCUAACGCGUUAAGUAGACCGCCUGGGGAGUACGGUCGCAAGAUUAAAACUCAAAUGAAUUGACGGGGGCCCGCACAAGCGGUGGAGCAUGUGGUUUAAUUCGAUGCAACGCGAAGAACCUUACCUACUCUUGACAUCCAGAGAACUUUCCAGAGAUGGAUUGGUGCCUUCGGGAACUCUGAGACAGGUGCUGCAUGGCUGUCGUCAGCUCGUGUUGUGAAAUGUUGGGUUAAGUCCCGCAACGAGCGCAACCCUUAUCCUUGUUUGCCAGCGAGUAAUGUCGGGAACUCCAGGGAGACUGCCGGUGAUAAACCGGAGGAAGGUGGGGACGACGUCAAGUCAUCAUGGCCCUUACGAGUAGGGCUACACACGUGCUACAAUGGCGCAUACAGAGGGCAGCCACAGCGAGAGGA